CGGAGGGUGCAAGCGUUAUCCGGAUUUACUGGGUUUAAAGGGUGCGUAGGCGGGCCUUUAAGUCAGUGGUGAAAGCUCCGAGCUUAACUCGGAAACUGCCAUUGAUACUAUUGGUCUUGAAUUCGGUCGAGGUUGGCGGAAUGUGUCGUGUAGCGGUGAAAUGCUUAGAUAUGACACGGAACACCGAUUGCGAAGGCAGCUAGCUAGACCGACAUUGACGCUGAGGCACGAAAGCGUGGGGAUCAAACAGGAUUAGAAACCCUGGUAGUCCACGCCCUAAACUAUGAUUACUCGAUGUUGGCGAUACACUGCCAGCGUCUAAGCGAAAGCAUUAAGUAAUCCACCUGGGGAGUACGAUCGCAAGAUUG
rnacentral:rRNA from 1 species